GAAUGACAACCUCGAGCAGUUUCCAGUACUGGAUUGAAAAGAUGGCCUUUGCUGCAUCUCCUUGAGCAAGGAAAGCCAAGAAACCUUUGCUUUGGAAGGAGAAAAUCUAGAAAGCAGGAAGGAAGAAAAGCAGCCCCCUGACUCCUCCCUGAGCCCCAGACAGCCCAUGAACUGCCUUGCUGGGAAUGGUAGGACAGGAUGGACUCUGAAUUGCUCCCUCUGGAUGUGUGGAACUCCAGGAACUCCUGGUGCCGCCUGGGCCGAUGGAUUGGACGCCCCAGCCCCUCCGUUCCUGCUCAGCCCCUGGGUCUGUGUCCAGUGGUGGCACUGCCAGCCCUGCAGUGGGAUGUAGCCUGGAAAGUGCACAGAGCUGAGCCAAGGGAUUGAAGGGGACCAACCAAGGGAGGUGAAGAAAGAAGGCAGAAGGGAAGUGAGGCAGCAGCCAAGCAGCACCAAGUUGCUGUGUAAGCAGGUGAGUUGUCUUGAGGUUCCUCAGGCAGGCACUGAGGACUUGGAGGGCUCCAGACAGAACAGACCUGGGAAGUCCUUCCAAAACCUUCUAAGGGUAGGUGUGUAUGGUUAUAAGUGUUGGAGAAUGUCCUGAGUAUGGAAUAGGAAUGCAGGGAACGAAAAUGAACCCUCCUGUAAUGCUGCCAUAUCAGCUGCAGUGGAGAUAGCUCUGUGUGCCCUUUGGGAUCUGAUUGCCAGGGCCUCUGGUGGGCUGGAAUGAUUCAAGAGCAUAGGAAUAAAAGGUUGCCUGGCUUCUAAAACUCACCAGCUGAGUCUUAGAGGUUCCUUUGAAGAGCUGUUUUCAGGCAAGAAAAUUGGCCCCCCAGGAGGGACUCUGUGCCUGCUCUCCCGUGGCUCCAAGGGAUCUCUGGCCCUUCACGCCGGCACC